CCCAACUGGGCAGAGGGAUCCUCCUCAUCUCAUCACUGGGUGAUUAAUGUUGGACCACACUGACAAAAGGAGAUGCGCAAGUGAACAACGUGCCAUUCUGCUGCUGCCUGCUGCAAUUGCCUACUGCCUUGUGUUUGCUGGUAAAUCCCACUGUUGCAAGUUACCAGAAGCAGACCCUGGAUGCCUUCAUCUGAUCGUCCUGUGUGGUCAGCCUGACAUCGUGCUGAGACUGCACAUCGCAUGGCAUCUUGUCUCUACUCCUGAAAAUCCUCUUUAGAAGUCCUGGCCAUACACAGGUCAUUCAGAGGAGCCAGGAGACAAGAACAUUGUCUGCCUCCUUUCUCCAGAUCCCUGGGAAGAAUUAAGUCUCAACAUCUGAUGGGACAGAGUCCCCUGAAAGCAUUUGGGCUCUGUCUGGACUGUGGCUAACCCUCACGAGUGGAGUACUAGUAAUAAUAAUUUGUGAGUCAAUGCUUCAAUGUCUUUCUGUCAUUCUCCAUUGCUUUCUGCCAUAAGCAGACAGAGCUCCUUGAGUCCAUCUAGUGGACAAGUGGCAUUUGACUGCAGGAAUCUUCCAGUUCAAUUAAUGUUUAUUUUUUUGCUGGUUAUUUCUAGAUAUUAUCCAUAGAAUGUUUCCAUGACUCUGUAAGAACUGAAAUAUCAUUAAAAUUAGUGGUUGGGGGUGGUGAGAGUUCUGAAUAUCAAAAUUAAUAAACAUUAUUCAUUUUGGAAAAAA